rnacentral:lncRNA from 1 species
GGAGUCUAGGAAAGCGCCUGAUUUGAAUCCCUAAAAGAACCUGAGGGCUGUUUAAUAGCCGAUCACUUUCAGGCUUCUGUAGUCGACUAACUAACACUCGUCUUUGUGGAGUAAUAGGCUUGUAGCAGUGGCCUUUUGCGGCGGGCUUCGCAUCAGGCAGUGCAGUGGACGUCCCCGGCACAAGGGUCCUCAGACUCCUAAAGAUUGACGGCAGACCGCAAGGAUGGCGGCAGGGCAGGGCGGGUGGCUCCGGCCCGCGCUGGGGCUUCGCUUACUGCUGGCGACUGCGUUUCAAGCGCAAUCUCAGGACAAUACUCCAAAAGAGCAAAGGCCUCUUAAGACCUCGUCGUGGAAACCACACACCUCUCUGGGGCGACCGAGGCUAAAAAUAGAAAGCCAGGUCCUCCCACUGUGCGAACAGAUCCAAGCUCCAUCACAUCAGACUUGUCAAAUUAAGUCCCCAGACCAAGCCUCAGUUCUUCACCAGGCUUACUUCCUGGUGCUUCCGUGUUCUGCUGGGAGAACAAAAGGCGAGGAAGAGCUGGGGUACUUGCUCAGGUGUCUGCUCUUGGGGCAGAGUUCUCGUCAGAGGCAUGCCGGGAGUUGGGCUUCUCCAGCAACUUGCUCUGCAGCUCCUGCGAUCUCCUUGGACAGUUUAACCUGCUUCCACUGGAUCCUGUCUGCAGAGGCUGCUGUCAGGAAGAAGCGCAGUUUGAAACCAAAAAGCUGUAUGCAGGAGCCAUCCUUGAAGUCUGUGGAUGAAAAUUGGGGAGGUUCCCUCAAGUCCAAGCUUUUGUCAGAAGCGAUAAACCCAAACUGUUCAGAGGUCUACAGAUCAAGUAUGUUCGAGGCUCAGACCCUGUACUAAAGCUUUUGGACGACAACGGGAACAUUGCUGAAGAGCUCAGCAUCCUCAAGUGGAACACAGACAGUGUGGAAGAGUUCCUGAGCGAGAAGCUGGAACGCAUAUAAGCCGUGCUCAGUUGUCCGUCUGUCACUUACCACAUGAGCUGUCACUGCUCCUAGGAAACCCCUUAGCUUUGCUCACAGUGGUCUCUGUUUUACGUGCACCAUCACUUAGUUCUGCAUGCUUACAGUGGUCAUCGUUUAUGUGCGGCAUCAGUCUUCUGAUUCGAAGCUGAAGUAGCCCCACAGCCCAUAAUGUUAAGGAUCUGGCAAGGUUAACAAACCCAACUCUUAGAAAUCUCUCUUCUUCUGCACUUGCUGAUAUCACCAGUGAAAUGCUUUGUAAAGAGGCAUCUGGUUAAUUAUGCUAAUAAUAGUUGGUGAUAAUUGGUCCAGUUUUACAAACAACAGAAUUUAAAUGGAGGAGUUAAUAAAGGAGGUGCCUCCCUUGCUAUGUGCUCUUUGAAAGUAAGUGACAGAAAACUGCAAACCAGCACGCCCGCCCCAGAGCCUGGAGCUCCUGUAGUGCCCAGCUUUCUUUUUAGCAGAAGUAUUUGUAGUUUGUAAUGAAUGUGCCACAUACAAUUUUUAUAGCCUUAUUAUUACAGAACAGACUGAAGAUCUACAGUAAGAAUGUAAUACUUAUAAAGGUUUGCAUUAAUGAGGAUUACACAGAAAACCUUUGUUAAGGGUUUGUGUCGAUCUGAUAAUUGGCAAAUUUUUAUUUUUAAAAUAUUCUUACAGAAGAGUUCCAUUUAAGAAUGUUCGUGUAUAGGACCAAAAUAUAAAUAAAAACUUUCAAAUAUGUUUGAGUUUAAAUUACUCUGCU